AUUGAACGCUGGCGGCAGGCCUAACACCUGCAAGUCGAACGAGUGGCGGACGGGUGAGUAAUGUCUGGGACACUGCCCGAUGGAGGGGGAUAACUACUGGCAACGGUAGCUAAUACCGCAUACCAUCGGAUGUGCCCAGAUGGGAUUAGCUAGUAGGUGGGGUAACGGCUCACCUAGGCGACGAUCCCUAGCUGGUCUGAGAGGAUGCCCAGACACACUGGAACUGGGACACGGGCCAGACUCCGACGGGAGGCAGCAGUGGUGAAGAUUGAACAAGGGGCGCAAGCCUGAUGCAGCGAAGCCGCGUGUAUGAAGAAGGCCUUCGGGUUGUAAAGUACUUUCAGCGAGGAGGCGUUACUCGCAGAAGAAGCACCGGCUAACUCCGUGCCAGCAGCCGCGGUAAUUC
rnacentral:rRNA from 1 species